rnacentral:tRNA from 1 species
CGUGGCGCAGCGGUAGCGCGGCGGACUGUUAAUCCGUGUGUCGCUGGUUCAAAUCCAGCCG